rnacentral:rRNA from 1 species
GAUUGAACGCUGGCGGCAGGCCUAACACAUGCAAGUCGAACGGUAACAGGAAGAAGCUUGCUUCUUUGCUGACGAGUGGCGGACGGGUGAGUAAUGUCUGGGAAACUGCCUGAUGGAGGGGGAUAACUACUGGAAACGGUAGCUAAUACCGCAUAACGUCGCAAGACCAAAGAGGGGGACCUUCGGGCCUCUUGCCAUCGGAUGUGCCCAGAUGGGAUUAGCUUGUUGGUGGGGUAACGGCUCACCAAGGCGACGAUCCCUAGCUGGUCUGAGAGGAUGACCAGCCACACUGGAACUGAGACACGGUCCAGACUCCUACGGGAGGCAGCAGUGGGGAAUAUUGCACAAUGGGCGCAAGCCUGAUGCAGCCAUGCCGCGUGUAUGAAGAAGGCCUUCGGGUUGUAAAGUACUUUCAGCGGG